GAUGAACGCUGGCGGCGUGCCUAAUACAUGCAAGUCGAGCGAACAGACGAGGAGCUUGCUCCUCUGACGUUAGCGGCGGACGGGUGAGUAACACGUGGAUAACCUACCUAUAAGACUGGGAUAACUUCGGGAAACCGGAGCUAAUACCGGAUAAUAUAUUGAACCGCAUGGUUCAAUAGUGAAAGACGGUUUUGCUGUCACUUAUAGAUGGAUCCGCGCCGCAUUAGCUAUUUGGUAAGGUAACGGCUUACCAAGGCAACGAUGCGUAGCCGACCUGAGAGGGUGAUCGGCCACACUGGAACUGAGACACGGUCCAGACUCCUACGGGAGGCAGCAGUAGGGAAUCUUCCGCAAUGGGCGAAAGCCUGACGGAGCAACGCCGCGUGAGUGAUGAAGGUCUUCGGAUCGUAAAACUCUGUUAUUAGGGAAGAACAACUGUGUAAGUAACUAUGCACGUCUUGACGGUACCUAAUCAGAAAGCCACGGCUAACUACGUG
rnacentral:rRNA from 1 species